CCAGAGAGAAAAGAUGAGGCGGCACCAGGGUAGUGAGUGAUGUGAAUUCCUGUCAGAGCAGAAAUUGUGCUAGGGGAGGUCUCUAGACAGAAAAAAAAAAAAAAUCUUUGGGUUGGGGAUGGGUGAAGAGUACAAAGAAAAAGAAAAGAAGGGAUGAGUUUUAAAAAAUGCAGGAAGAAGGCAGUAAGCAAUUAGAGAAGACUCAGUGUGUGCACAGUUGUCAGUCCCUGCUGGAAAUGCCCGCCAGUGGCCAGAAGUGGGUCAUGAGUGUAAUGAGCCAGUCAGCCUGACAUCUGCACUCUUUAGUCCAGCCUCAGGUUUCCACCUGGAUCUAGCAACUUGCGAGCUUCAGAGCAGAGAGGUAAGUGCGUGAUUUUCUUUGGUUCUUGCCUCCCUUGUCAGACACGGACACCUAUUUCCCCACAUAGGGCAAAGUCUACCUUCUUGACUAACCAGAAAUAACCAGAGGAAGCUAUAGUCCAGACUGGGUCUCUUCCUUCCCUCAAAGGCUGUACUGAUUUAAGAGAAAACUUGCUCUGACCCCUGCCAAAGCUGAUAACUUAUGAGUUUCUAAUUAACACCCACCCCAGGCCUUUGAAUUUGUAGAGAUGCAAAUGAUGCUCAUUUCUAAUAAUUUAAUUCUUCCAAUGACAGCCAUCAUUUUUGUGAAGACUUCAAGAAAACUGGGCAAGAAUGAUGCAAAGUUCAUCCAAACCAUGGCUACUGCUUGUGAAACUUCCCAGAGCACCUUUGAUCCUGGCAGUGGAUUAGUAUGUAAUGGGAAGACAGCCUGGAUUCUGAAAAGCCCAGAUUCUGCAAUUGAAGAGAAUCAUACAUACCUGACUGGCAUGGGGCUAGAGAUUUUUCCACCAAAACCCACUGUGAUCAUGUUUAUUUCAUUUCAUCCAGUAGGUAGGUAUUGAGCAUGUAUGAUGUUUCCAGCUCUGGGGACAUAAUGGAGAGCUAAACAAUUGUUUACAUUAUAUAAAAGGGUGCUAGAGGUGGUGUGGAGGCAAGAAGUGGUGAGAUGAGUGUAGACAAAUAAUUCUCUAAUAAAUGAAUAAGAUGUUUGAGCUAACUGUGGUCAAAGGAAACAGGAGAAAAAUUGACAGCAUCAUGCGCAAUAGUCCAGUGAUGGAAAGAUACGUGGGACAUUUGAGUGAUAUGAGAUGAAGAUGAUGUUGUUGCCAAGGUACAGAUUUUUGGAAGCCCAGGUAAUCAAUUGGGGAUUUUGGUCUUUAUCUGAAGAUAUAGGAUUUUUUAAAGGAGUGAUAUAAUAUUGUCUAUGUUUUGGAAAUGAAUGUUUAUCUUCUGGAGAGCAAAUUGUUACAAAGGGAUUAAGAACACAUGAAGGUUGUCAAGUCAGGAGGCUAUUGCAAUAGUCCAGGUGAGAAACAGUGGUAACUAAGGGACUAGAAAUAAAGAUGAAGUCAGAUGAAUGGAUUUGAGUCUUUUAUUAGAGUGCUCCUCAUACUUUAAUAUGUAUGUGCAUCACUUGGGAAUCUUGCCAAAAUGUAGAUCCUGAUUUAGUAGUUCUACAGUGGAGCCCACAGAUAGACCUAGAAUUCACUAUUCUAACAAGCUUCACACAUAGGCAACGUCUGGUCUUCAGAACACACUUUGAAGAGCCAGGUUCUAUUCAAUAGAAUCUAUUUGACUUGGUGAUAUAGUACAAGGAGAAUGUUGAGUUUAAAGGGCCUUUAAGACUUCCGAGAGGAGAUACUAAGUAGGAAGCUGUAUAAAUAGGAUCUAUACAGAGGGGAGUUCUUAGCUGGAAAUAUAAAUUUUGAAUCAUCUGAAUACAAGUGCUAAUGGAAGGUAUGGCUGUGGAUGACAUCAUCUAAUGAAAAAUAAAGAGUAAAACAGUGAAGAAGUCCUAGAACCAAGACUUAAGAAACACACACACACACACAGGCAAAAAGGAAGGCAAAGCGGAAGAAAACCAGAAGUUUCAUGUAUUAUGAAAACCAGGAGAGUAUUUCAAGGAGAGAGAGAUCCAGGGUUGAAUGUUGCUAGCAGAUUAAAAAGAUUAAAUCCAAGUUGUUCUGAUUAUUUUCGCCUCAGCUGCUUAUUGGGACUAGAGUUGAGUGCUAAUCUUUUCACCCAUUUUCCCUUGUCCUAUUUCUUCAGACUGGACUCUCUUCAUAUGCACUUUUUUCAUCUCCAGCUUCAGGCAGAUUAACUCAGCAAACUUGGAAGCCAGAUGAUGAAAACUGAAAAACUGUAAGAUGGAAGGGAUAUGGAACUCCAGUUCACUGCUUGAAGAAGGGCAGUCAGAGUUAACAGUUUUAGACUUUAUAAGGAGAAAUAAAUUUAUGUCAUGUGAACAAUUAUAUAUUUUAGAGUUUGUUUUUCAAAACAGCUUUACUAUAACUGCUAAAUGGAAAAAUGCAUGCAUUUCUCAAUUACCAGAUUACAACUCAAACUGUAUUUUGUUUCCAGUACUAGAGACACAAGACAUGAGUUAAUCAAAUUUUUUUGUGUGUAGCAGCCUGGGUAAUUCAUGUUUUUAAGUCCCUUUAAUAUCUUAUUGGUUGUGCAUUCUAGGUUUUAAACAACUUGUUUAGAAUGAACUUUUAGAACCACACCCAUUUCUAAGUUGGGAACUGCUUACAUAGCAAAGGAUUUAUUGCUGAAUGAUCAAUUUGAUAUGCUUGUCAUAACUGCUAAACUAUACAGACAUGGGCCAUUUAUUCCAGACAACAUAACGUCUGGAUUGGAUUGAAGAAACUGGAUCAAUAGACCUUAACCAUCGACCUGAAAAUGGUCACUCCAUACAAUCGUGGAAAAUCAAGUAGUCCAGUUGUCUGAAAAAAUAACAAUUGGCAGACAAAUUACUUUAUCAGUCAUCUUUGGUUUUAGUGGGAAAUUGUAUGGUUUUAAUUUCAAAAAGGAUAUGGUUCACUAACCUUAUAGUGACUGAUAUUAAAAAAUUGAAAUGUAUGUUAUAUCACAAAGCUGAUGGAAUGGAGUUCAACUAGAUGCGUUUUUUUUUACCAAAAAAAAAUAAUAAAUUUGUUUUAAG
rnacentral:lncRNA from 9 species